rnacentral:rRNA from 1 species
UGAGCAACCUGCCCCUGACUCUGGGAUAACCCCGGGAAACCGGAGCUAAUACCGGAUACGACACGCGAAGGCAUCUUCUGCGUGUAGAAAGAUUUAUCGGUCAGGGAUGGGCUCGCGGCCUAUCAGCUUGUUGGUGGGGUAACGGCCCACAAGGCGACGACGGGUAGCCGGCCUGAGAGGGCGACCGGCCACACUGGGACUGAGACACGGCCCAGACUCCGUACGGGAGGCA